rnacentral:misc_RNA from 1 species
GGGAUCUUUUUUUUUUGACUUGAUUCGUCUUUUUGCAAGUACAGGAUUCUUCACCUAUAAUGUUUCUGAGAUUAAACCAUAUCAGAUUGCUGUC